ACUCCUACGGGAGGCAGCAGUGGGGAAUAUUGCACAAUGGGGAAGCCCAUCGAUGCAGCCAUGCCGCGCUGUGUGAAGAAGGCCAAUUCGGGGCUUUGGUUAAAGACACUUUUCAGUAGGGAGGAAGGUAGUGUAGUUAACACCUGCAUUAUUUGACGUUACCUACAGAAGAAGCACCGGCUAACUCCGUGCCAGCAGCCGCGGUAAUACGGAGGGUGCGAGCGUUAAUCGGAAUUACUGGGCGUAAAGCGCAUGCAGGCGGCCUGUUAAGUCAGAUGUGAAAGCCCGGGC
rnacentral:rRNA from 1 species